CAUGUGGGGAGGCUUCCUCCGGGAAGGGCCGCUAGAGGCUGGAGGAGUGUGUAGGCAGCGGUAUGGACGCCAGAAGGACCCAGCAAAGGCAAAGGCUUAUAGGCAGGCAAAGCACGACACUCAGGGUAGAGGUCUGGUCCGUGGCAAAGAUAAAGAUUAGAGGCAUCUUCAGGCUCCCAGAGCAGGAACUACAACCACACGCCGCUCAAAACCAUGGCUUUCCAGCUCUUCUCUCUUCCCCCUUUGGCUCCGGCUCCGGGACCUGGCUUGCUCCCCACUGACCCCAGGGCCUCACUCCUCAUUCGCAGGUGGCUGUCGGUGAUCCAGAAGUGAGGUGGGCAGGCGGGAGAAAUUUGAACACCGUGAUCCUCUGGAGACGUUCAGCCAUUUGAGAUCUGGGAAAGAGACAGUUUUCACAUAACCACCCUGGUUAUGAAAAACAAACAAACCAAAAAACCACUUGUAAUUAAGCAAAUAAAAGAGCUAUCCUUACAGGACAAA